GAAUUAAUCGAUAUACGGAUAAUAUAUUUGAUUGACAUCAACUUUCCGCGGAAUCUUUUCCACAACGUGAAUAGUCACGAUACGGUGCUGUUCUCGAGAUGAUUGAACUACAGCUCCGCAAGAGCUGUCGGCCAGUUUCUCAACAUGAUUCGAUUGGUACUUUUAGGAGACGCUUGUAUUUGCAUUACAUCAUACGAUACAUGAUCGCAAGAUAGCCAACAACCACAUUGUGUCACGUCCAUAUUAACGUGAUAUAAGCAGGAAUACUUUGAAGGUGGACAUUCUUCUUUCUGAUUAAACGAUAAAAACCACGGAAAAUAGGCUCUUACUACCGGUCUUUCAUCUGGUUUUGGACUUUCAACAUUUUGUUCCGUAUAAUAAACCCUGCAAGGGAAAACUUGUACUGGAGAUCUCAAAUUCAAGACUCCAUGAAGGAUCUAUAAAUCUAAGUGGCUCUAAAUUUCUAGAUUUGCAGCAAAUGCCCACGGCAGUAGACACUUUUGUAAAUAGUGCAUUACACGAUUUAUUUACUCCUCUAAAAAACAAUAAUUUUAUGAUGAAAUAUGUACCAAUUUCGUGUUUAUAAUAAGAUAAUUGUAUCUACCUGUAUACACAGUCACUAAUUAAAGAGUCACAAUCGGGUGCCAUCGUUUCAAAAGUUCUACGAAAGUUAUUCCUGCUUUUGUAAACAGCUGGGAAUAAUUGUGAAUCGAUACUUUUUCCAAAAGUCCAGUUAUAUAAUUCUUCGUACAUAUACAUUUCAUUCUGUACACGAAAUGUGAUCUUGUGAGAAUAAAAUUAUGAAAAAAUGAGAAUAAUUUUAUGAGAAUAACGUUACGUUUACCUCAGGUACAUCCGAAUGAUUCAAGUGAAACCAAUCGAAACAAAUGAAGACCUGAAGAAAUUCGAUGUUAAUAUGUUCCGUUAUCAUAUCUAAUCCAGUUAUAGUUGGAUCUGUUUGGAAUUUGCCUAAGAUGAUCACGAUUAUAGCCACAAUUGCAAAUAGCGAUGCGAACGUCAAAAAGAACCACAUUAAUCUACGAGCAAACCAGUUGAAAAUUAUCCACGAAUCAACGAAAUCAAAAGAAAUCGUGAAUUUCAUGUAAAAUCAUCUUUCUUUUUUUAACAAGUCGCGUAGGGUCCACAAAAUAUGGAACACCAUGUAAAGUGUUUUCCAAAAGAUAUUCUCUCGUUCGAUACUUCAAGCUAGAACGUAAUUCCUUUAAGGAUGGAUUAUACUUGUAUCUCAUUUUAAAAUAAGUCUGACAGGCGUAUGCACUUUUACAGCUAUACUAUAAGAGCAAAUAAGCUGGACAAAGAAAUCACGCCGAUCGAUUUUUUUCUUUUGAAUCGCAUGUCAGCUUGGAACAUACAUUAUGCAUAUUAUACACAUAACGCAAUUAAUUUAUCACUUUGAUCAACUGAAAAAAAGGAAAGAUAGGAUCGUAGAUUAAAGCAAAACAGCAACGCUGCUCGUUUAUAACGAUUCGUAUCAUAUUUUACUGAUUGGUUCAUUUCAUUUCGCGAGAAAGCGAAGCUUUUGAACAUUGAAAAAUGUUUUACGAAAGUAUGUAACGAAAAAAACAGGUAACGUUUAUUAUUGCUCCUUUCUAGAGAAGACGAAAAAUGAUUGCUAACAGGAAAUAUCGAUAACUAUGAGUUUAUUCGAAGUAUUGUCUUUCGAAUAUACGUUUUUCCAGUUGCAUCUCGUUGUUUAAGAGUCGGCCAUCAUCUGUGGAAACACAAACAGCCCUCAUCUUCACGUCAGCUUCUUUAUUAUUUUAGACCAUCCCCUCUUACGACCACCAUCUGCAUGCAUGCCGACGUUGUUCCGGUCGCCGUACUAAGAAAAAUCCACGAUCAUCGAGUUAAGCGGGCGUAAACUACCCUCUUGAUCUCUUCCUCGGAUCCGCUUUCGCUUAAAAAACGCUCCCCUCCUCGCUGCGAAAAUUCAUCGUGCACCAUCAUCAAGCAUACAAACAUUUGUUUUUCUAGCUUAAAACACAUGUUUACUCGGUUCAUUCGAAUGUUAUUCCUCGCGUAGACAAAUAAUGAAAUUAACUGAAAUAACAAACAGGCCAGAGUGAAGUGGGAACGUCGAUGAGACAUCAAUGUCUGGCUGAAAAAGAAAAAAGAAGAAAACGAUCAACGACAACGAUCCAAUUGUCGCGAGUCACGGUGAUAAUUAAAAGAGCAACGCGUCUGAAAGUGAAGAGAAAUGAGAAGAAAAAUUAACGAAGCUCUGUUGUUAGGAGUCGUUUGACGCAAGGGCGAG